rnacentral:rRNA from 1 species
AUUGAACGCUGGCGGCAGGCCUAACACAUGCAAGUCGAGCGAGCGGCGGACGGGUAAGUAAUGUAUGGGGACUGCCCGAUAGAGGGGGAGAACUACUGGACACGGUGGCAAAUACCGCAUACAGUCGGAUAACCCAUAUGGGAUUAGCUAGUAGGUAAGGUAAUGGCUUACCUAGGCGACGAUCCCUAGCUGGUCGGAGAGGAUGAUCAGCCACACUGGGACUGAGACACGGACCAGACUCCUACGGAGGCAGCAGUGGGGAAUAUUGCACAAUGGGUGCAAGCCUGAUGCAGCCAUGCCGCGUGUAUGAAGAAGGCCUUAGGGUUGUAAAGUACUUUCAGUCGGGAGGCGUUACCGACAGAAGAAGCACCGGCUAACUCCGUGCCAGCAGCCGCGGUAAUAC